AACACGUAUGAAACCUGCCCGUAGCAGGGGGGGAUAAGCGGAAGAAAUUCCGUCUAAUACCGCGUAACAACCCUUGGAGGCAUCUCCUCGGGUUUAAAGGAAGCGAUUCCGGCUACGGAUGGUCAUGCGUCGCAUUAGCUGGUUGGCGGGGUAACGGCCCACCAAGGCGACGAUGCGUAGGGGUUCUGAGAGGAAGGUCCCCCACACUGGUACUGAGACACGGACCAGACUCCUACGGGAGGCAGCAGUGAGGAAUAUUGGUCAAUGGCCGCAGGGCUGAACCAGCCAAGUCGCGUGAGGGAUGACGGUCCUAUGGAUUGUAAACCUCUUUUGUCAGGGAGCAAAGGGCGCCACGUGUGGCGCUUUGCGAGUACCUGAAGAAAAAGCAUCGGCUAACUCCGUGCCAGCAGCCGCGGUAAUACGGAGGAUGCGAGCGUUAUCCGGAUUUAUUGGGUUUAAAGGGUGCGCAGGCGGAAUGUCAAGUCAGCGGUAAAAUUUCGGGGCUCAACCCCGUCGUGCCGUUGAAACUGGCGUUCUUGAGUGAG
rnacentral:rRNA from 1 species